AGACUGAAACUCAAAGGAAUUGACGGGGACCCGCACAAGCAGUGGAGUAUGUGGUUUAAUUCGAAGCAACGCGAAGAACCUUACCAGGUCUUGACAUCCAACUAACGAAGCAGAGAUGCAUUAGGUGCCCUUCGGGGAAAGUUGAGACAGGUGGUGCAUGGUUGUCGUCAGCUCGUGUCGUGAGAUGUUGGGUUAAGUCCCGCAACGAGCGCAACCCUUGACUUUAGUUGCCAGCAGGU
rnacentral:rRNA from 1 species